CCAGGGUGUCAAUGCAAAUGAAAUGAUGGCA
rnacentral:piRNA from 1 species